UCAAUGAACCCACGACUAAAGUCGCGGGCUUGUCCAAACGAGCCCACAUUGACUAGCCUAAGUCAAGACGGGCAGGUCGGACGACAGUCCGAUACCAUCCGCAUAAGACUACGUUAGAUAUGUUAUCACACCCGCGGACGUAAUACCUAAUCUGCGGCUCUGU
rnacentral:sRNA from 1 species